rnacentral:rRNA from 1 species
UAAUACGAAGGGUGCAAGCGUUACUCGGAAUUACUGGGCGUAAAGCGUGCGUAGGUGGUUUGUUAAGUCUGUUGUGAAAGCCCCGGGCUCAACCUGGGAAUGGCAAUGGAUACUGGCAAGCUAGAGUGCGGUAGAGGGUAGUGGAAUUCCCGGUGUAGCGGUGAAAUGCGUAGAGAUCGGGAGGAACACCAGUGGCGAAGGCGGCUACCUGGACCAGCACUGACACUGAGGCACGAAAGCGUGGGGAGCAAACAGGAUUAGAUACCCUGGUAGUCCACGCCCUAAACGAUGCGAACUGGACGUUGGGAGCAACUUGGCUCUCAGUGUCGAAGCUAACGCGUUAAGUUCGCCGCCUGGGGAGUACGGUCGCAAGACUG